AUGAAUAGCUCUGCACAAAAUACAAGCCAGGCCUCGGUUCAAAAUUCACUAAAAGAAUGCAAAGAGGUUCGUGAUCUAACAAUAGGUUUGAGGCUUUGCGUUGUAUUCGCAAUUAGAGCGUUUAAUUGCACAGUUCUUAAAAAACCAUUGUCGGAUCUAGAUUGUUGUGUAAGGUGGAUUGUGGUUGUUCACAUUGACGGAGAUACGGAGGAAGGUUGUUAG